GAUGAAGAACACAGCGAAAUGCGAUAAGUAAUGUGAAUUGCAGAAUUCAGUGAAUCAUCGAAUCUUUGAACGCACAUUGCGCCCGCCAGCACUCUGGCGGGCAUGCCUGUUCGAGCGUCAUUUCAACCAUCAAGCCCCCAGGGGCUUGUGCUGGGGCCCUGCGGCUGCCCGCAGGCCCUGAAAACCAGUGGCGGGCUCGCUAGUCACACCGAGCGCAGUAGCACAUCUCGCUCAGGGCGUGCGGCGGGCUCCUGCCGUGAAACCCCCCACUGUAACCCCAAAGGUUGACCUCGGAUCAGGUAGGAAUACCCGCUGAACUUAAGCAUAUCAAUAAGCGGAGGA
rnacentral:misc_RNA from 1 species